UACGGAGGGUGCAAGCGUUAUCCGGAUUCACUGGGUUUAAAGGGUGCGUAGGUGGGCAGGUAAGUCAGUGGUGAAAUCUCCGGGCUUAACCCGGAAACUGCCAUUGAUACUAUCAGUCUUGAAUACCGUGGAGGUAAGCGGAAUAUGUCAUGUAGCGGUGAAAUGCUUAGAUAUAACAUAGAACACCAAUUGCGAAGGCAGCUUACUACCCGAAUAUUGACACUGAGGCACGAAAGCGUGGGGAUCAAACAGG
rnacentral:rRNA from 1 species